CCCGGGAGCAGCCGUACGAGGCGGGCGGCAGGAAGGGAGCGGCGGCGGCGGCGGCGGCGCCGGGCGGGCCCUGCAGUGCUCCGGGGCAGCCUGACUGAAAGCGCAUCAAUUCGCAGAGAAAAAGCUCUCGGUGUUCAGAACGACCCUGGAAUCUACACAGGGGCCAGCUCCGGCAAAUCUUCUGAGCAGGGUCGAGCUGGAAAAUGCCGGUUUGAAGCCUGACGGGACAACAGCAUCCAAACCAAGCAGUUUACGGGGAAAUCACAGCUAGAAAGGGCACUGAAAGGACAAGAAACAGAGAGCUCGGGGAGACCUUUGCCUUGCAGAACCACACCGGGGAGCUGGCAAGAGAUGACGAAACACAAACCUGGAAUCAGUUUCAAGGCCCUGUGAUGUUUCCUGGGGAGGUGUCCUCACCCCACGAUGUUCAGCCAUCCAACAACAGGCUUGGUUUGGUUUUGAGUUCAUGGUCUCUGCUAAACUCUGCAGGCUGCAAACUGAGGGUUAACAUUUUGGAUUAUUUAUACUGAUAUUUUCUCAGUGCAAUUCUAUGCUGCUGAGUGUAGUGGAGCCCCUGGACCUGGCCACAAAGCAAGGAAUAAAUCAUGGUUCAUCACAAGCUAUAGUUGCUGCAGCUCUUUAGGCUGCUGGGAGCAAACACCCUGGCUGAAAGGAGCAGUGUCUGCUCUAUGUCCACUUCUCACUGUUUUUUUAUGGCUGCUGUGCUGGCACAAGUGUUUCUGUGGCUGACUGGGGCACUAAUCCGGCUGGAGAAGAACACCCUCUUCCCAAUCCCUUUUUUUUCUCCCCUUUUUCUUAUCCCCUCAGGUUAGCUUUAGCCUGGGCCUGCCCAGCCCCUUCCUGAGUGAGAGCUUGUUAGUGACUGAUUAGCCAAAGUUUGGAUAAAAGCUUCAUUGUUUGUAACCCCUGUAAACUACCCGGAGCUGUGCUCCUAAUAAAAGUGGGAUUAAAUAGACACCUUGGGAGUGAGACAGUUGCAAGUGGGAAUUUCAGAGUUUUGAGGGAUGGAGGGAUGUGGCCAGGCUUCAGUAACUCUGUGCAUCAGAAGUGAUUUUAGCAAAACUGGCAAAGAAGCCUGACUUUUGUGUUUUUUUUGGGGAAAAGGAACCUGGUGGGAGACAGAAGGAAGUCACCUGUUAGUGGCUGGAUUAAGAACACGCUCCAGGGGUUUGGAAACAUGUUUGCAGAAGUUCUCAGCACCCUGUAUUCCUCCAGCCCCUCCUGGAGGAAUGCAGAUUUUAAGAUUCGUAAAAAGUAUUCUAAAAUCCUCACUCUGACCACAUGAAUUUAAUCCUUCUUCAUUUUAUUUUUGCAACAGUAAAAAAGUUCACUUGGCAAUGAUAUGUGCCUGGCUUGAUACUAUUGGGUUGUAUCUUUUUUGGGAAGAAUGUUAAGCAAGGGGAUUCUUCCCUCCUGCCUAAAGCAAGAAAUUGGCCUGGGCUGGAAUAAAGCAUCUCUGUGCUUUUAGAAUGUUUUUUGUGUGUAAUGGGAUAUUUGAAACAGAGCUUGGUGCUCUGGGCUGGUUAUUCCAUAGUGAUCACACCUAUAGGGUAAGGUAAAGGCCAAAAUCUUUUGGUCCUAAUUCAUCUGAAUAAGCCACCUCCACUCUGGAAUGAGCAAUAGAAACAGAAAAACAUAAAUUUAUGGUCGGCUAAGGUAAAAAUAAUCAAAACUAUUAGUAGAUAAAGGCAGUGGCUGCCAUCACCACCACCACAAGGAAAUGGAGGAGUAUUAAAUUAGUAUUUCUUUUCCAUGUUUGUCCGGGGCAGAAAAAAAUCAGAUAGAGUGUUAGUUUCAGGUUCUGGUGAAAGAGCAUUUUGGGCUCCAUUAAUUACUAGGGAUUAUAUUAAAUAGCAACCACAUAAAUGAAAUAUUUUAUGAUCAGCCACUCCUGGUAAUUCACAGCCAAGGGUUUUAGAACUCUCUGAACCAGGAACAUAUUGUGUGGGCCAUUAAUGCUGGCUUUUCAUUUUGGGACACUGGGAGGGUUUUAGAGCACUAAGAAAGCUGAUAUUGGCUCAUUAUUUAAAAGCUUUGGGCAAAUGAUUUAGUGAUGCUCAGACUUUCAGCCCUUCAUUGUUAAAGCCAAGAACUGUAUAGGUGCAUCUCUUAAUUAAUGCUUAAUUUCCUUCUUAAAGGAAGGCAAUGAAACUGAUGCCAAUGAGUGUGUGUAGAUGAAAAAUAGACCUUGUCAAAUUAAUUUGCUGUUGUUCUCAAGCAAGAGGGAGUAACCCGUGAUGUAACUGAUUUCUGAAAGUGUUUGAUUUGUUCCAUCUUGGAGGUGGAUUUUACAAAUUGGUAUAAAAUCACCAUGGUGCAAAUUAAGUGGAUCCAAUUGGUUACACCAAGAUCUCAGAAUUUCACAGUGAAAAAUGAAUCCUUGAGUCUCUUCUCAGGGAAAUUUGGUGGAAAUAGGUUCAUUAUUCUGUUUCUGUCAUCAA